GGAUGAACGCUGGCGGCGUGCCUAAUACAUGCAAGUCGAGCGAACGGACGAGAAGCUUGCUUCUCUGAUGUUAGCGGCGGACGGGUGAGUAACACGUGGAUAACCUACCUAUAAGACUGGGAUAACUUCGGGAAACCGGAGCUAAUACCGGAUAAUAUUUUGAACCGCAUGGUUCAAAAGUGAAAGACGGUCUUGCUGUCACUUAUAGAUGGAUCCGCGCUGCAUUAGCUAGUUGGUAAGGUAACGGCUUACCAAGGCAACGAUGCAUAGCCGACCUGAGAGGGUGAUCGGCCACACUGGAACUGAGACACGGUCCAGACUCCUACGGGAGGCAGCAGUAGGGAAUCUUCCGCAAUGGGCGAAAGCCUGACGGAGCAACGCCGCGUGAGUGAUGAAGGUCUUCGGAUCGUAAAACUCUGUUAUUAGGGAAGAACAUAUGUGUAAGUAGCUGUGCACAUCUUGACGGUACCUAAUCAGAAAGCCACGGCUAACUACGUG
rnacentral:rRNA from 1 species